ensembl:ncRNA lncRNA:CR45159 long non-coding RNA:CR45159
CGACUGGAACACGCUGAGAGCUAUACCACCGAAUCGAGAAGAGAUCCGCGAGUGAGAUCAGACAGUGAUAAGCCCUUUGAAAAGUUAACGGUUCGUGAGAUCGCGCAGGAUGCAGAAGGAAUCAGCCAGUUAUUGUCGACGCGGACACACAAGGAAGAUCACUGCAAGUGAAGAACGCAGCAACGCAGAGAUCCACGGAGCAGGAGAACAUAAGGGCAUGGCAUGGUUAGAAGGGACAGUGCAGUCAGUGCUCGCAUCCUAAGCCCCAUUACAGUCGGCAGGUGGUCGGUUGGCAGAGACGACAAGGGAUUGGCAUUGUUGGAAGGGACAGUGGAGUCAGUUGUCGGCGAAGGUGGUCCUGAGAAGAUCGUUGCCUUGACCUAACAGACGAUAUACCCUACAUUCGUAGCGGGCAGACGACGCGGGAUAACGAAGGAAAGACGACGAAGUAGUUACGCCUCGCAGCGCACGGCGAGGAGUGUAGGAGUCCAUUGUUCUAAUGGUCGGACAAU